UCUCAGGUGGCCUAGUGGUUAGAGCGUCCGCCUCGGAUGCGGAAAGUCGUGGGUUCGAUCCCCAAAGUCUUACAAAA